UACGGAGGGUGCGAGCGUUGUCCGGAAUCACUGGGCGUAAAGGGCGCGUAGGCGGCCUGAUAAGUAGGGGGUGAAAUCCUGCGGCUUAACCGCAGGGCUGCCUUCUAAACUGUCAGGCUGGAGCACAGUAGAGGCAGGUGGAAUUCCCGGUGUAGCGGUGGAAUGCGUAGAGAUCGGGAAGAACAUCAGUGGCGAAGGCGGCCUGCUGGGCUGUUGCUGACGCUGAGGCGCGACAGCGUGGGGAGCAAA
rnacentral:rRNA from 1 species